rnacentral:rRNA from 1 species
UAGGGAAUCUUCCACAAUGGACGAAAGUCUGAUGGAGCAACGCCGCGUGAGUGAAGAAGGUUUUCGGAUCGUAAAGCUCUGUUGUUGGUGAAGAAGGAUAGAGGCAGUAACUGGUCUUUAUUUGACGGUAACCAACCAGAAAGUCACGGCUAACUACGUGCCAG